CGCGUAGGCGGUGGACCAAGUGUUGGGUGAAAGCCCUCGGCUUAACCGGGGAAGGGCCUGGCAAACUGGUUGACUAGAGUGCCGGAGGGGGAGGCGGAAUUCCUGGUGGAGCGGUGAAAUGCGUAGAGAUCAGGAAGAACGUCGGUGGCGAAGGCGGCCUCCUGGACGGACACUGACGCUGAGGUGCGACAGCGUGGGGAGCGAACG
rnacentral:rRNA from 1 species